AGAGCGAACGCUGGCGGCAGGCCUAACACAUGCAAGUCGAGCGGUAGAGAGGUGCUUGCAUCUCUUGAGAGCGGCGGACGGGUGAGUAAUGCCUAGGAAUCUGCCUAGUGGUGGGGGAUAACGUUCGGAAACGGACGCUAAUACCGCAUACGUCCUACGGGAGAAAGCGGGGGACCUUCGGGCCUCGCGCCAUUAGAUGAGCCUAGGUCGGAUUAGCUAGUUGGUGAGGUAAUGGCUCA
rnacentral:rRNA from 1 species